GUCCCGGCAGUAACGAUGGACACUAGGUGUCGGAGGAUUCGACCCUCCGGUGCCGCAGCCAACGCAUUAAGUGUCCCGCCUGGGGAGUACGGCCGCAAGGUUGAACUCAAGGAAUUGACGGGCCGCACAAGCGGUGGAGUAUGUGGUUUAAUUCGACGCAACGCGAAGAACCUUACCUGGGCUUGACAUGCUGCGGAAUGGGUGAGAGACCACCCCGCUCCUUCGGGAGUCGCAGCACAGGUGCUGCAUGGCUGUCGU
rnacentral:rRNA from 1 species